rnacentral:rRNA from 1 species
GAUGAACGCUGGCGGCGUGCCUAAUACAUGCAAGUCGAGCGAACAGACGAGGAGCUUGCUCCUCUGACGUUAGCGGCGGACGGGUGAGUAACACGUGGAUAACCUACCUAUAAGACUGGGAUAACUUCGGGAAACCGGAGCUAAUACCGGAUAAUAUAUUGAACCGCAUGGUUCAAUAGUGAAAGACGGUUUUGCUGUCACUUAUAGAUGGAUCCGCGCCGCAUUAGCUAGUUGGUAAGGUAACGGCUUACAAAGGCAACGAUGCGUAGCCGACCUGAGAGGGUGAUCGGCCACACUGGAACUGAGACACGGUCCAGACUCCUACGGGAGGCAGCAGUAGGGAAUCUUCCGCAAUGGGCGAAAGCCUGACGGAGCAACGCCGCGUGAGUGAUGAAGGCCUUCGGAUCGUAAAACUCUGUUAUUAGGGAAGAACAAAUGUGUAAGUAACUAUGCACGUCUUGACGGUACCUAAUCAGAAAGCCACGGCUAACUACGUG